GCCUGGGUGGCUAAGUUGAUUAGGUGUCCGACUUUGGCUCAGGUCAUGAUCUCAGGGGCUUGUGGGUUCGAGCCCCACAUCAGGCU
rnacentral:tRNA from 1 species